UACGUAGGGUGCAAGCGUUGUCCGGAAUUAUUGGGCGUAAAGAGCUCGUAGGCGGUUUGUCGCGUCUGCUGUGAAAACUCGGGGCUUAACCCCGGGCCUGCAGUGGGUACGGGCAAACUAGAGUGCGGUAGGGGAGACUGGAAUUCCUGGUGUAGCGGUGAAAUGCGCAGAUAUCAGGAGGAACACCGGCGGCGAAGGCGGGUCUCUGGGCCGUAACUGACGCUGAGGAGCGAAAGCAUGGGUAGCGAACAGG
rnacentral:rRNA from 1 species